rnacentral:rRNA from 1 species
CACGUAGGGCGCGAGCGUGUCCGGAAUUAUUGGGCGAAAGAGCUCGUAGGCGGCCUGUUGCGUCCGCUGUGAAAGCCCCGGGGCUUAACCCCGGGGUCUGCAGUGGAUACGGGCAGGCUAGAGGUAGGUAGGGGAGAAUGGAAUUCCCGGUGUAGCGGUGAAAUGCGCAGAUAUCGGGAGGAACACCGGUGGCGAAGGCGGUUCUCUGGGCCGAUACUGACGCUGAGGAGCGAAAGCGUGGGGGAGCGAACAGG